rnacentral:rRNA from 1 species
UACACUCCAACCCCUGUGAACAUACCUAUACGUUGCCUCGGCGGAUCAGCCCGCGCCCCGUAAAACGGGACGGCCCGCCCGAGGACCCCUAAACUCUGUUUUUAGUGGAACUUCUGAGUAAAACAAACAAAUAAAUCAAAACUUUCAACAACGGAUCUCUUGGUUCUGGCAUCGAUGAAGAACGCAGCAAAAUGCGAUAAGUAAUGUGAAUUGCAGAAUUCAGUGAAUCAUCGAAUCUUUGAACGCACAUUGCGCCCGCCAGUAUUCUGGCGGGCAUGCCUGUUCGAGCGUCAUUUCAACCCUCAAGCUCAGCUUGGUGUUGGGACUCGCGGUAACCCGCGUUCCCCAAAUCGAUUGGCGGUCACGUCGAGCUUCCAUAGCGUAGUAAUCAUACACCUCGUUACUGGUAAUCGUCGCGGCCACGCCGUAAAACCCCAACUUCUGAAUGUUGACCUCGGAUCAGGUAGGAAUACCCGCUGAACUUAAGCAUAUCAAUAAGGCGGAGGAA